AGUGAACGCUGGCGGUAGGCCUAACACAUGCCAGUCGAACGGCAGCACAGUAAGAGCUUGCUCUUACGGGUGGCGAGUGGCGGACGGGUGAGGAAUACAUCGGAAUCUACUUUUUCGCGGGGGAUAACGUAGGGAAACUUACGCUAAUACCGCAUACGACCUACGGGUGAAAGCAGGGGAUCUUCGGACCUUGCGCGAUUGAAUGAGCCGAUGUCGGAUUAGCUAGUUGGCGGGGUAAAGGCCCACCAAGGCGACGAUCCGUAGCUGGUCUGAGAGGAUGAUCAGCCACACUGGAACUGAGACACGGUCCAGACUCCUACGGGAGGCAGCAGUGGGGAAUAUUGGACAAUGGGCGCAAGCCUGAUCCAGCCAUACCGCGUGGGUGAAGAAGGCCUUCGGGUUGUAAAGCCCUUUUGUUGGGAAAGAAAAGCAGCAGGUUAAUACCCCGCUGUUCUGACGGUACCCAAAGAAUAAGCACCGGCUAACUUCGU
rnacentral:rRNA from 1 species